UUGCUGUGGCUGAGCCCUGGGGUGAAGACAGGCAGCUAUUCCCAACCCCAGAACCUUUGCUGUCUUGGAACAGAUCACCACUGCAAGAGGGGAAGUUGCUACUGUGAUGAAUUCUGCCAUGUGGUACCAGACUGCUACCCAGACCACAGUGUCCUCUGCAACCCUCCUUCUCAGAUGACCAAGAUGGUGCUGCAGAUGGUGCUGAGGAUGGAGAACCCACCAAGCCCCGCUAGGAGCCACCUAGACUGGAUGUAGAGCAUGAUUUGAAGAUUGUACCAGGAGAGCCGCAGUGUUCCAGAGCUACCGAGGGGCUGGGCCGGGAUUUGCUGUAUUUGAGAAGACCCCCCUGGACCCGAGAGGCUGUGGGCUUGGGGAGCAUGAGGAGGUUUCACAGCAGAAAGGACACCCCGGGGCUCCUGGAUCGGAAAAUGUGCCAGGGGAAAUCGGGCUCCAAGGGCACCACUCUGGGCUUCCAGCUGUGUAGGCUGGACCAAGAAGG
rnacentral:lncRNA from 1 species